AAAUUGAAGAGUUUGAUCAUGGCUCAGAUUGAACGCUGGCGGCAGGCCUAACACAUGCAAGUCGAACGGUAACAGGAAGUAGCUUGCUGCUUCGCUGACGAGUGGCGGACGGGUGAGUAAUGUCUGGGAAACUGCCUGAUGGAGGGGGAUAACUACUGGAAACGGUGGCUAAUACCGCAUAACGUCGCAAGACCAAAGAGGGGGACCUUCGGGCCUCUUGCCAUCAGAUGUGCCCAGAUGGGAUUAGCUUGUUGGUGAGGUAACGGCUCACCAAGGCGACGAUCCCUAGCUGGUCUGAGAGGAUGACCAGCCACACUGGAACUGAGACACGGUCCAGACUCCUACGGGAGGCAGCAGUGGGGAAUAUUGCACAAUGGGCGCAAGCCUGAUGCAGCCAUGCCGCGUGUAUGAAGAAGGCCUUCGGGUUGUAAAGUACUUUCAGCGGGGAGGAAGGUGUUGUG
rnacentral:rRNA from 1 species